CAAUUGAGAGCGUUUGAAAUUUGAUACUAUUUAUGGCCUUUUGUUUACAUUAGAAUGUUGCUGAGCUCAGACGUCUGAGUUCAUUGUCACUGCCAAAAAUGCGCUGUAGUUCUGCCAAAUAAUACCCUGGGUACCAGAGGUUCUUCCACGCAAGUAGGGGGGAUAAUGAGGGAUACACGAGGAUUCAAGCUGCGAGGCGACGAGCGGGAAGAACCUCUGGAACACUUCUAUGGUUUCUCAGAUCGAACCGCACCAAUCACGAUGCUUAAUAGUGUGAAGUGAUCCAGAAUCUGGAUCACAGUGUUAAUUGGUUAACGGCAGGGACUUGUUAAAACAAUGACUUUCAUUGGCUGUUUGAACCGUAUAUCCUUCAAGAUAUUAUCGUUCAGAAUCCGUACAGGCAUACGCUGUUGUUUAAUAUAAUAUUUUAUUUUUCACCUGCUCGGUUUCCUUUGUUUUUAUAGGGGAAUAUAUUCAAUAUUCCCCUCUAAUCAAUUUCCGUUUAAUAAUCCCCUCUAAUAUUCACCUGCAAUUAAUAAUUCCCUCUAAUAUUCACCUGCAAUGUCUUUGCAGCACAAAAAAUGAGAAGAAAAAAACAACAUGACGAAGG